GGGUAUAGCUCAGUGGUAGAGUGUGUGCUUAGCAUGCACGAGGUCCUGGGUUCAAUCCCCAGUGCCACCA
rnacentral:tRNA from 1 species